UGGGGAAUUUUGGACAAUGGGCGAAAGCCUGAUCCAGCAAUGCCGCGUGUGUGAAGAAGGCCUUCGGGUUGUAAAGCACUUUUGUCCGGAAAGAAAUCCUCUGGGUUAAUACCUCGGGGGGAUGACGGUACCGGAAGAAUAAGCACCGGCUAACUACGUGCCAGCAGCCGCGGUAAUACGUAGGGUGCAAGCGUUAAUCGGAAUUACUGGGCGUAAAGCGUGCGCAGGCGGUUUUGUAAGGCGGAUGUGAAAUCCCCGGGCUUAACCUGGGAACUGCAUUCGUGACUGCAAGGCUAGAGUAUGGCAGAGGGGGGUAGAAUUCCACGUGUAGCAGUGAAAUGCGUAGAGAUGUGGAGGAAUACCGAUGGCGAAGGCAGCCCCCUGGGCCAAUACUGACGCUCAUGCACGAAAGCGUGGGGAGCAAACAGGAUUAGAUACCCUGGUAGUCCACGCCCUAAACGAUGUCAACUAGUUGUUGGGGAUUCAUUUCCUUAGUAACGUAGCUAACGCGUGAAGUUGACCGCCUGGGGAGUACGGUCGCAAGAUUAAAACUCAAAUGAAUUGACGGGGUCAUAGCUGUUUCCU
rnacentral:rRNA from 1 species